CAGAGCGGCCGGUAGGACUUGUGGCUGGUGUUCUCGGCCAUGCCCUUGCCCCAGAAGUCGUUGGUGAAGAUGCCCCAGCGGAGCGCGGCUCCGGGCCGCACGUCGGGGUUGUUCACGAUCGCCCACACGUCGUCGUGCACGAACUCGCCCUGCAGGGAGCGGCCGUAGCACAGGCAGCUCGCCCCGGCCAGCAGCGCCGCGGCCCCGGCCGGCGCCAGUCCGCAGCCCCGCCGCCGGGAGGGCGCGCGGUCCCCGCCGCCGCCUCGGGCAGAGCCUGUCACCACCAUCGUGCCGCCGCCGCCACCGCUGCCCUGGCCGCUCCCGGGCGUCUGGCAUCCUCGCCGGCCGGGGCCCCGGCGGCGCGCCGCGGCUGCCCGGAGGUGGGCUCUGGCAUGGUGCGGCGGCAGCUGGACCCGCCGCUGGCGCCCCGCGCUCCGCCUGCGCCGCCGAGUUGGCCCAGCUGCAAAUAAACAGCAGUCCCCCGCCUCCCCCGGCCAUCGCCACCUCCUCCGCCCCACUGCGCAUGCCCCGCUCGCUCUCGCCUCCACCCGCCCCCCUCCAUCCCCGGACGAGGGCCGCCCCCCCCCCAGCACCCUCCGCUCCCGCCCCGCUCGCCGCCGCACUCAGCGCCCGGCGCCCGCGUCCCCGGCCGCCGGAGUUCGCGCGCAGGUGGAGCGCGGGCGCGGCGCGGGGCUGCCCGAGAGGCGGAGAAGGGCCAGCGGGGUCCUGCCUGGCGCUCCCGGCCGUGCUCACCGCCGCCCCCCAAUCACGCACCCCCACCCAGGGGGCUGGGAGGGCCGCAUCUGCCCGCACCUCCGGGCCCAGGGCCAGGGCGGGCCUAGCAGUUUCUUCUUAAACUCUUGAGAUGAUCGGGAGAUGCAGAGCAAAUUCCUCCUCCUUCUCUUUCAAGUGGAUCACUUGGGUCUGAUGAUUAAUUUCUGGGCACCGAACGUAUUUCAACUGUUUCUGCUAACAAUACUGAAAGAGUUGCAGGGAAGAAGGUGAGGAUCCUUGACAAUGGAGAGCAGUGAAGGAGUUGCUCAAGUGCAGAGAGCUGGGACGCCAGAGAGACAGUUGAAAGGGACAGAAGAAAAAGAAAUUUCACAGCUUGAGUCCUGGUUUCUGAGCACUCAGUGUUUCAUUAAACUUUCCUCUAGAUUCAGGGCCAUCUGCCUUCUAUCUGUUUCAGACGAUGCGUUUGAGAUUAAUUUUAUUUAAGAUAUUCAGGUAUUUUACAUCUUCUCAGACACAAAACAAUAAAUAUUUUUAAA